UGCAGUCGACGGCAGCACGGGGGCAACCCUGGUGGCGAGUGGCGAACGGGUGAGUAAUACAUCGGAACGUGCCCAGUCGUGGGGGAUAACGUAGCGAAAGCUACGCUAAUACCGCAUACGAACUCUGGUUGAAAGCGGGGGAUCGCAAGACCUCGCGCGAUUGGAGCGGCCGAUGGCAGAUUAGGUAGUUGGUGGGGUAAAGGCUCACCAAGCCGACGAUCCGUAGCUGGUCUGAGAGGACGACCAGCCACACUGGGACUGAGACACGGCCCAGACUCCUACGGGAGGCAGCAGUGGGGAAUUUUGGACAAUGGGCGCAAGCCUGAUCCAGCCAUUCCGCGUGCAGGAUGAAGGCCCUCGGGUUGUAAACUGCUUUUGGACGGAACGAAAAGGCCUUUUCUAAUACAGAGGGCUCAUGACGGUACCGUCAGAAUAAGCACCGGCUAACUACGUGCCAGCAGCCGCGGUAAUACGUAGGGUGCAAGCGUUAAUCGGAAUUACUGGGCGUAAAGCGUGCGCAGGCGGUUAUGUAAGACAGGUGUGAAAUCCCCGGGCUUAACCUGGGAACUGCAUUUGUGACUGCAUAGCUAGAGUACGGUAGAGGGGAUGGAAUUCC
rnacentral:rRNA from 1 species